rnacentral:tRNA from 1 species
AGUACAGUCAGCUAAUUAAGCUUUUGGGCCCAUACCCCAACCAUGUUGGUUAAAAUCCUUCCUAUACUA